rnacentral:rRNA from 1 species
CUGGGUUGGAACCCUCCAGAAGUCCGCAGAGAUGUGGAUGUGCCCGCAAGGGAAUUGGAUGUCCAGGUGCUGCAUGGCUGUCGUCAGCUCGUGUCGUGAGAUGUUGGGUUAAGUCCCGCAACGAGCGCAACCCUUGUCGUUAGUUGCCAGCGGUUCGGCCGGGCACUCUAACGAGACUGCCGGUGUUAAACCGGAGGAAGGUGGGGAUGACGUCAAGUCCUCAUGGCCCUUAUGCCCAGGGCUACACACGUGCUACAAUGACCGGUACAAAGGGUUGCAAACCCGUGAGGGUAAGCCAAUCCCAAAAAACCGGCCUCAGUUCAGAUUGAAGUCUGCAACUCGACUUCAUGAAGUCGGAAUCGCUAGUAAUCCCUGAUCAGCAGGCAGGGGUGAAUACGUUCCC